UGAAGAAGGCCUUCGGCUUGUAAAGCUCUUUCGGCCGGGNAGNNAUCGCAUGGGUUUAUACCCUGUGUGGAUGACGGUACCGGCAUAAGAAGCACCGGCUAACUACGUGCCAGCAGCCGCGGUAAUACGUAGGGUGCGAGCGUUAAUCGGAAUUACUGGGCGUAAAGCGUGCGCAGGCGGUUUGGUAAGACAGGCGUGAAAUCCCCGGGCUUAACCUGGGAACUGCGUUUGUGACUGCCUCACUAGAGUACGGCAGAGGGGGGUGGAAUUCCACGUGUAGCAGUGAAAUGCGUAGAGAUGUGGAGGAACACCGAUGGCGAAGGCAGCCCCCUGGGCCGAUACUGACGCUCAUGCACGAAAGCGUGGGUAGCAAACAGGAUUAGAUACCCUGGUAGUCCACGCCCUAAACUAUGUCAACUAGGUGUUGGGUGGGUAAAACCAUUUAGUACCGUAGCUAACGCGUGAAGUUGACCGCCUGGGGAGUACGGCCGCAAGGUUAAAACUCAAAGGAAUUGACGGGGACCCGCACAAGCGGUGGAUGAUGUGGAUUAAUUCGCAUGCACACGCGAANAAACCUUACCUACCCUUGCACAUGCCAGGUACUUGCCAGAGAUGGCUUGGUGCCCGAUAAGGGAGCCUGCACACAGGUGCUGCAUGGUCUGUCGUCAGCUNGUU
rnacentral:rRNA from 1 species